CGAGAUAUUUUAAGUGGAUUCGUUAUUGUACGAUAUUAUUCAUCACGCGUGCAAUAUCGUCUUCGUUCUGUUUCCAUUAGUCGAACUGUGACAACGAUGCAGCACCAACAACUGAAUAUUUUAAACAACGAUGUUCAAAUUUUUGCAAUUCUGACAAAAGGAGAUGAUAAAGCAGGUUGAACAGAAAUUAAUUAAGUAAAAGUAAAGAAGGUUUUUUUUCGAGUUGGUAACACUGCAAGAAUGGAUAUCCUCGUCAACCCUCUCACGCUAUCUUAUCUCGUCACGCUUGCACCUAACUUGAUGCAAAUCUCUCUGAGGAUCAUGCGACGCCGGUGCGAGGAACGUUUUACCGAGCUUGGAAAAGGCUUGACACCCUCUUCCACCCCUAUUCCCAACUCCCCACUCCUCCCCCCCACCACUUGCAGCGUGAGGAUUUUAAAUCGACGCUUCCAACUAUAUCGAAUCUACUAUUUGCUAUCUCCCUACUGCAUCUUCUACGACUAUCAAACGGAGAAUUGAUGGAUGAAUACGCGUUUGGAUAAAUGUCCUUGCAAAUAUCGCACCCUUUCUAAGUUAUUUUUUUCCCUUCAUUUUUUAUCCUUCUCCUUCAUACUCGUUGAUGUAUCGACGAGGGAGGUCACUAUCGAUUACAAUUAUUCGAGAAUAGGGAACAUUUUUUGAGAUAUUCCUGAUAAUGAUCUAGU